GACGAACGCUGGCGGCGUGCUUAACACAUGCAAGUCGAACGGAAAGGCCCUGCUUUUGUGGGGUGCUCGAGUGGCGAACGGGUGAGUAACACGUGAGUAACCUGCCCUUGACUUUGGGAUAACUUCAGGAAACUGGGGCUAAUACCGGAUAGGAGCUCCUGCUGCAUGGUGGGGGUUGGAAAGUUUCGGCGGGUGGGGAUGGACUCGCGGCUUAUCAGCUUGUUGGUGGGGUAGUGGCUUACCAAGGCUUUGACGGGUAGCCGGCCUGAGAGGGUGACCGGCCACAUUGGGACUGAGAUACGGCCCAGACUCCUACGGGAGGCAGCAGUGGGGAAUAUUGCACAAUGGGCGGAAGCCUGAUGCAGCGACGCCGCGUGCGGGAUGACGGCCUUCGGGUUGUAAACCGCUUUCGCCUGUGACGAAGCGUGAGUGACGGUAAUGGGUAAAGAAGCACCGGCUAACUACGUG
rnacentral:rRNA from 1 species